rnacentral:rRNA from 1 species
UACGUAGGGUGCGAGCGUUGUCCGGAAUUAUUGGGCGUAAAGAGCUCGUAGGCGGUUUGUUGCGUCGGCUGUGAAAACCUACAGCUUAACUGUGGGCCUGCAGUCGAUACGGGCAGACUUGAGUUCGGCAGGGGAGACUGGAAUUCCUGGUGUAGCGGUGAAAUGCGCAGAUAUCAGGAAGAACACCCGUGGCGAAGGCGGGUCU